rnacentral:rRNA from 1 species
UUACGCCUUCAUGAAGCUGGAAUUGCUGUAAUGGCAGGUCAGCAUACUGCCGUGAAUACGUUCCCGGGCCCUUGUACACACCGCCCGUCACACCAUGAGAGUUGGGAAUACCCGAAGCCUGUGAGCUAACUUAUAGAGGCAGCAGUCGAAGGUAGAAUCAAUGAUUGGGGUGAAGUCGUAACAAGGUAAC